UACGUAGGGGCUAGCGUUGUCCGGAUUAUUGGGCGUAAAGAGCGUGUAGGCGGCCAGGUAGGUCUGCUGUGAAAACUCGAGGCUCAACCUCGAGAUGUCGGCGGAAACCAUCUGGCUAGAGUCCGGAAGAGGAAGUGGAAUUCCUGGUGUAGCGGUGAAAUGCUGCGAGAUAUCAGGAAGAACACCCGUGGCGAAGGCGGCUCUCUGGGACGGUACUGACGCUGAGACGCGAAGCGUGGGAGCGAACAGG
rnacentral:rRNA from 1 species